rnacentral:rRNA from 1 species
CCUACGGGUGGCAGCAGUGAGGAAUAUUGGUCAAUGGGCGGGAGCCUGAACCAGCCAAGCCGCGUGAAGGAAGAAGGCGCUAGGCGUCGUAAACGUCUUUUGUCGGGGAAAAAAGGGCGACACGCGUGGCGUUGUGAGUGUACCCGAAGAAAAAGCAUCGGCUAACUCGGUGCCAGCAGCCGCGGGAAUACGGAGGAUGCGAGCGUUAUCCGGAUCUAUUGGGUUUAAAGGGUGCGUAGGCGGUCCGGAAAGUCAGCGGUAAAACUCCGGGGCUCAACCCCGGCGAGCCGUUGAGACUGUCAGACUAGAGACGGCGAGAAGUACGCGGAAUGCGAGGUGUAGCGGUGAAAUGCAUAGAUA